GACAGAGGGUGCAAGCGUUGUUCGGAAUUACUGGGCGUAAAGCGUGUGUAGGCGGCUACCUAAGUCGGAUGUGAAAGCCCUGGGCUCAACCCGGGAAGUGCACUCGAUACUGCGUAGCUUGAGUCUCGGAGAGGUUGGUGGAAUUCUCGGUGUAGAGGUGAAAUUCGUAGAUAUCGAGAGGAACACCGGUGGCGAAGGCGGCCAACUGGACGAAGACUGACGCUGAGACACGAAAGCGUGGGGAGCAAACAGG
rnacentral:rRNA from 1 species